CUAAGACCAAACUACAACCAUCCAACAUGCAAGUCUUCAUGAGAGGAAAGGUCUUUUCUCUCUCCAGCCUGUAUCCCGAACAGCACUUCCACAGUGGGCACAUGGGCCAGAGGAAGCUUAUAUCACAUAUCCAUGGAAAAAGAUCCUGAGUGCCCUGGAGACUUAUUUUCUUCCAGCUCUCGAAAGAGGGAAUGCAGAGGCAUGUCGGUGGUGAGGACUGAACACAGGGGCUUUGUACAGAGUAAGGACAUGCUCUACAACUGAGAUGCAUCUCCAACCCUUUUUUUCCUUCUUCUGUGGUGCCGACGAGGAUCAAAUUCAGAAUCGUGUGCUGUUUGUGCAGGCUCUGACACUGAGCUAAAUCCCUAAACUCUCCCUAGCCUAAAGAAGAAAUAUUAAAACUUCUGUUCACUCUGUAAAAUGUUAUUAGAGAAUUAAAUUUCAAAG
rnacentral:lncRNA from 1 species